AACCUUCAGUUCAUGAGUGUGAUGAUUGAGUAUCACACUAUUGUGUGAGCUGUGCCUCCCUCUAAACCUUGUUACAACGUCAGCACUUACAUCUGAUG